UACAGAGGUCUCAAGCGUUGUUCGGAUUCAUUGGGCGUAAAGGGUGCGUAGGUGGUGAUGCAAGUCUGGUGUGAAAAUCUCGGAGCUCAACUCCGAAAUUGCACCGGAUACUGCGUGACUCGAGGACUGUAGAGGAGAUCGGAAUUCACGGUGUAGCAGUGAAAUGCGUAGAUAUUGGGAGGAACACCAGUGGCGAAGGCGGCUCACUGGACCGGUACUGACGCUGAUGCGCGAAAGCGUGGGGGAGCAAACGGGG
rnacentral:rRNA from 1 species